GAGUUUGAUCCUGGCUCAGAACGAACGCYGGCGGCGUGCUUAACACAUGCAAGUCSAACGUGAUUGAGAGCUUGCUCUCAUGAAAGUGGCGCACGGGUGAGUAACMCGUGGAUAAUCUGCCUGGCGAUUCGGGAUAACACUUCGAAAGGGGUGCUAAUACCGGAUAAGCCCACGGACUCUUAGGGGUUUGCGGGAAAAGGGGGCCUCUGUAUAUGCUCCUGUCGCUAGAUGAGUCCGCGGCCCAUUAGCUAGUUGGUAGGGUAAUGGCCUACCAAGGCGACGAUGGGUAGCUGGUCUGARAGGAUGAUCAGCCACACUGGAACUGAGACACGGUCCAGACUCCUACGGGAGGCAGCAGUGGGGAAUUUUGCGCAAUGGGCGAAAGCCUGACGCAGCAACGCCGCGUGAGUGAUGAAGGCCUUCGGGUCGUAAAGCUCUGUCAGUGGGGAAGAACCGCCGGGUGGUUAAUACCUGCCUGGUCUGACGGUACCCACAAAGGAAGCACCGGCUAACUACGUGCCAGCAGCCGCGGUAAUAC
rnacentral:rRNA from 1 species